GGAGCUUGCUCCUCUGGGAUCAGUGGCGAACGGGUGAGUAACACGUGAGUAACCUGCCCUUGACUCUGGGAUAACCUCGGGAAACCGAAGCUAAUACCGGAUACGACCCUCGGAGGCAUCUCCAGGGGGUGGAAAGAACUUCGGUCAAGGAUGGACUCGCGGCCUAUCAGGUAGUUGGUGAGGUAACGGCUCACCAAGCCGACGACGGGUAGCCGGCCUGAGAGGGUGACCGGCCACACUGGGACUGAGACACGGCCCAGACUCCUACGGGAGGCAGCAGUGGGGAAUAUUGCACAAUGGGCGCAAGCCUGAUGCAGCAACGCCGCGUGAGGGAUGACGGCCUUCGGGUUGUAAACCUCUUUUAGUAGGGAAGAAGCGAAAGUGACGGUACCUGCAGAAGAAGCACCGGCUAACUACGUGCCAGCAGCCGCGGUAAUACGUAGGGUGCGAGCGUUGUCCGGAAUUAUUGGGCGUAAAGAGCUCGUAGGCGCUUUGUCGCGUCUGCUGUGAAAACCCGAGGCUCAACUUCGGGCCUGCAGUGGAUACGGGCA
rnacentral:rRNA from 1 species